CCGGUUGAUCCUGCCGGAGGCGACCGCUAUUGGAGUUCGAUUAAGCCAUGCGAGUCUAGAGGCUUAGGCCUCGGCGUACCGCUCAGUAACACGUGGAUAACCUGCCCUGUUCAGGGGGAUAACCUCGCGAAAGUGAGAAUAAUACCCCAUAGUUCACCAUGCCUGGAACGGUUGGUGGAUGAAAGCUCUGGCGGAACAGGAUGGGUCUGCGGCGUAUCAGGUAGUAGGGGGUGUAAUGGACCUCCUAGCCCUCGACGCGUACGGGUUGUGGGAGCAAUCGCCCGGAGAUGGAUUCUGAGACACGAAUCCAGACCCUACGGGGUGCAGCAGGCGCGAAAACUUGACAAUGCGAGAAAUCGUGAUCAGGGAACUCCAAUUGUCCCCGUUUUUACGGGGUUCUGAAUUGACUCUAAACAGGUCGAGUAAUAGGGGCGGGAAAUAUCGGUGCCAGCCGCCGCGGUAAUACCGAAGCCCCAAGUGGUCGUCGUUCUUAUUGGGCCUAAAACGUCCGUAGCCGGUUUGGUACAUUCGUGGGUAAAUCAGACAGCUUAACUGUCUGAAUUCUGCGAGCACGGCCAAACUUGAGACCGGGAGAGGUGUAGGGUACCUGCGGGGUAGGGGUAAAAUCCUGUCAUCCCGUAGGGACCACCAGUUGCGAAGGCUCUACACUAGAACGGAUCUGACGGUCAGGGACGAAGCCUAGGGGCACGAACCGGAUUAGAUACCCGGGUAGUCCUAGGUGUAAACGCUGUGGACUUUGUGUCGGGAAUUCUUCGAGGAUUCUCGGUGCCGGAGUGAAGAUGUUAAGUCCACUGCCUGGGGAGUACGGUCGCAAGGCUGAAACUUAAAGGAAUUGGCGGGGGAGCACUGCAACGAGAGGAGCGUGCGGUUUAAUUGGAUCAACGCCGGG
rnacentral:rRNA from 1 species